rnacentral:rRNA from 1 species
AGCGAACGCUGGCGGCAGGCUUAACACAUGCAAGUCGAGCGGGCCCUUCGGGGUCAGCGGCAGACGGGUGAGUAACACGUGGGAACGUACCCUUUGGCUCGGAAUAACGCUGGGAAACUAGCGCUAAUACCGGAUACGCCCUUUUGGGGAAAGGCUUGCUGCCGAAGGAUCGGCCCGCGUCUGAUUAGCUUGUUGGUGGGGUAAUGGCCUACCAAGGCGACGAUCAGUAGCUGGUCUGAGAGGAUGAUCAGCCACACUGAGACUGGGACACGGCCCAGACUCCUGCGGGAGGCAGCAGUGGGGAAUAUUGCACAAUGGGCGCAAGCCUGAUCCAGCCAUGCCGCGUGAGUGAUGAAGGCCUUAGGGUUGUAAAGCUCUUUUGUCCGGGACGAUAAUGACGGUACCGGAAGAAUAAGCCCCGGCUAACUUCGUG